rnacentral:rRNA from 1 species
UGAACGCUGGCGGCAGGCCUAACACAUGCAAGUCGAACGGUAACAGGAAACAGCUUGCUGUUUCGCUGACGAGUGGCGGACGGGUGAGUAAUGUCUGGGAAACUGCCUGAUGGAGGGGGAUAACUACUGGAAACGGUAGCUAAUACCGCAUAACGUCGCAAGACCAAAGAGGGGGACCUUAGGGCCUCUUGCCAUCGGAUGUGCCCAGAUGGGAUUAGCUAGUAGGUGGGGUAAAGGCUCACCUAGGCGACGAUCCCUAGCUGGUCUGAGAGGAUGACCAGCCACACUGGAACUGAGACACGGUCCAGACUCCUACGGGAGGCAGCAGUGGGGAAUAUUGCACAAUGGGCGCAAGCCUGAUGCAGCCAUGCCGCGUGUAUGAAGAAGGCCUUCGGGUUGUAAAGUACUUUCAGCGGGGAGGAAGGGAGUAAAGUUAAUACCUUUGCUCAUUGACGUUACCCGCAGAAGAAGCACCGGCUAACUCCGUGCCAGCAGCCGCGGUAAUACGGAGGGUGCAAGCGUUAAUCGGAAUUACUGGGCGUAAAGCGCACGCAGGCGGUUUGUUAAGUCAGAUGUGAAAUCCCCGGGCUCAACCUGGGAACUGCAUCUGAUACUGGCAAGCUUGAGUCUCGUAGAGGGGGGUAGAAUUCCAGGUGUAGCGGUGAAAUGCGUAGAGAUCUGGAGGAAUACCGGUGGCGAAGGCGGCCCCCUGGACCGAAGACUGACGCUCAGGUGCGAAAGCGUGGGGAGCAAACAGGAUUAGAUACCCCUGGUAGUCCACGCCGUAAACCAUGUCCACUUGCAGGUUGUGCCCUUGAGGCGUGGCUUCCCGAACUAACGCGUUAAGUCCACCGCCUGGGGGAGUACGGCCGCAAGGUUAAAACUCAAAUGUAUUGUCGGGGGUCCGCACAAGCGGUGGAGCAUGUGGUUUAAUUUGAUGCAACGCGAAAGAACCUUACUUGGUCUUGACAUCCACGGAAGUUUUCAGAGAUGAGAAUGUGCCUUCGGGAACCGUGAGACAGGUGAAGCAUGGCUGUCGUCAUCUCGUGUUGUGAAAUGUUGGGUUAAGUCCCGCAACGAGCGCAACCCUUAUCCUUUGUUGCCAGCGGUACGGCCGGGAACUCAAAGGAGACUUCCACUGAUAAACUGGAGGAAGGUGGGGAUGACGUCAAGUCAUCAUGGCCUUUACGAUCAGGGUUACACACGUGCUACAAUGGCGCAUACAAAGAGAAGGGACCUCGCGAGAGCAAGCGGACCUCAUAAAGUGCGUCGUAGUCCGGAUUGGAGUCUGCAACUCGUCUCCAUGAAGUCGGAAUCGCUAGUAAUCGUGGAUCAGAAUACCACGGUGAAUACGUUCCCGGGCCUUGUACACACCGCCCGUCACACCAUGGGAGUGGGUUGCAAAAGAAGUAAGUAGCUUAACCUUCGGGAGGGCGCUUACCAC